AAUAUAAAAUUCAUGUCACCCAAGACUGAUGUAUGUCCUGUCUGUGAACAACACAAAGAUCACAUUCAAUCGGCCAUGACAGAAAACGAUAAGUUAGCUGCUCUAGACAAAUAUAGUGCACAUCUGAAUGAAGUGAAAGUAGAACGACAGUUAUAUAACCAGUGUGUCACUAAUGCGAGAACUGAGGUAGCUGAGCAACCAGUCCCGGUACAGGCAGCUUCGCCGAUGUCAACAGAGCUUAACAAUGUCCAUUAUACCUUCGAUUACUCGCAGGCCGUAUCCAUCCCGCAUCAUGUUUGUCAAGUUGGACCUCUCUAAUUUGCUACACCUAGAAAGAUUCAGUUGUUUGGAGUUGCUAUGGAGGGUAUAAAGAAGCAGAUCAACUUUCUAGUAGAUGAGGAUUCGACACCGGGGGAAAACGGAACACAUGUCAAGGGCGCUAUUGGCGUAAUUUUCAUGCUUCAUUAUUGUUUUGAGAAUUUUGGUCUGGGUGAAAAAGAAUGCCACUUACACUGUGAUAACGCUUCAGGUUAGAAUCCAAAUUAAAUGAUAAAAAAAAUAGUA